ACAGCUCCAGGAAGAAUAAAGAGAAACUCACCAUUUCUUUGGGAAAAAUGAGUGUUCAGAGCAAAUGGAUUCUGCAAUCCAUAAUUAAGCAUGAGAGGAGUCAAAGGUCAAUAUGCAUGGAAGCAGGGCCUAAGAGAGGGAUUCUUGUAUACGUGAUUUAUUGAGGAAGAACUCUCAGGAGAAAUCUGUAAGGAAGUGAGGGAAACAGCAUAAAAAAAGAACAGGAGCACUCACCAAAUUUUCCAGGUCUAUCUCACUUUCUCCAAUGAAUGCCUAAGGAACCGAGAGGAUUAAGACUGAACCAUGAAGCACAUUAAAAAUUGGAAACCUAAG